rnacentral:lncRNA from 1 species
AUGUUUAUAUUUCAGGUUCCUAUUCCUGGGUGGCCAUUUGCAGCUUCCAUAAAGAUGGAAUGUGUAAUACUUUUGUGGAAUGCUGUGAGAGGGAGCAUUUUAGGAGAAUUGCAUACUAAUAGGCAUCUUAGCUGUACAUUUAUCUCCUGGAAACCAGAUGCAAUUGAGUGCACACCCCACAAGGAUACAAACACACAAGGGUCUUUUGAAGAACAGCAGUUGUUGGUAAGUAACCAUGCAUUAUUAAUCCCAUUGCUUACAUGACACACAGAAAACUUUCUCUAGCUAGCUAAUAAGAGGAAUCGUUUCUGUUGAUGUGAGGGCACACUUUGAAUGCUCCAACUAGGUAAAUGCAUAAACAUGAGUGUUAUUUAAACUUAGAGUGACUGAAACUUCCUAUAGGUGGCAAAGACAUAUGAGGGACAGUCUAUUAGAAGAGGUUUGGGGUCUCACUUCUACAUUGUUUUGCACCAGCACAUCAUCAGUGACUGCAUUCAAGUUGCCUUUAACAUCUUUACAUUCCUGCACAUGACAAAUAAUAGGGACUAGUUCCCACAGAGCAGAGGAAAUACAGUAACAAGUGUCUCACAUCCAUUUCUCAAAUGUCUUCAAAUAGCUUUUAUUCAUGGCAUAGCACAAGUGUCAGCCAACUGGCAAAGGCAGCCUAUAUUAAAAAUGCUGGGGAUUAUUCAGGUCAACAGACACAAGGGAGCUUUUCUCAGUCAGUGGAUCUGCACUAGAAGUGGUACAAAAAUGCAACAGAUUCUGUACAGUAAUCUCAAAUCUGAAUAACUUUAGAAGGAGACCAUCAGCAGAUUGCCAUUUCUAAGUUAAAUUUAAAAAUUAAUCUAGCGCAGUUAGACGAGAGCUUGGAUAGGUGAGAGGUUUAACUGUGUGGUUAGAUAGAAAAGGCUAUACCAUAAAGAUGGUAUCUAGAAAGACUGAGGUGAUACUUUUUAAAAAAUGCUUAGAUUGAAGAUGGUCUGGAGGUUGUGAGCUGAUGGUGGCUCUUCAGGUUUGCUUCUGAUUACCCAAUUAUCUGUUAGGUCCUUAGCCUGUUUGAUUGCAGGCAUAUCCUGCACUGUUCCAAGUAUAAUUUCUGUGGGCCAUGUGAUUUUUCUUUUAUGGCUGAGGUGCAAUUUAGAAAUGGAUGAAUUCUUUCUCCUUUUAAAAGCUUAAAAGUUAACAGCCAUGUUUAGCCCAGUUUAACUGAAAAUAAUGUUUAUUAAAUGAUUGAGACUUUUAAUAGGAAAAAAAUAAAAUGGGCACAAGCAGUAAGAUUGCUUAUCUU